AUUGAACGCUGGCGGCAUGCUUUACACAUGCAAGUCGAACGGUAACAGGUCUUCGGAUGCUGACGAGUGGCGAACGGGUGAGUAACACAUCGGAACGUGCCUAGUAGUGGGGGAUAACUACUCGAAAGAGUAGCUAAUACCGCAUGAGAUCUAAGGAUGAAAGCAGGGGACCUUCGGGCCUUGCGCUACUAGAGCGGCUGAUGGCAGAUUAGGUAGUUGGUGGGAUAAAAGCUUACCAAGCCGACGAUCUGUAGCUGGUCUGAGAGGACGACCAGCCACACUGGGACUGAGACACGGCCCAGACUCCUACGGGAGGCAGCAGUGGGGAAUUUUGGACAAUGGGCGAAAGCCUGAUCCAGCAAUGCCGCGUGCAGGAUGAAGGCCCUCGGGUUGUAAACUGCUUUUGUACGGAACGAAAAGACUCUCUCUAAUAAAGAGGGUUGAUGACGGUACCGUAAGAAUAAGCACCGGCUAACUACGU
rnacentral:rRNA from 1 species